rnacentral:rRNA from 1 species
GACGAACGCUGGCGGCGUGCCUAACACAUGCAAGUCGAACGGGACCAGAAGCUUCGGUUUUGGUUUAGUGGCGAACGGGUGAGUAACGCGUGAGAAACCUGCCUCUCAGUGGGGGACAACAGUUGGAAACGACUGCUAAUACCGCAUAAGCGCACAGUACCGCAUGGUACGGUGUGAAAAACUCCGGUGGUAUGAGAUGGACCCGNGUCUGAUUAGCUAGUUGGCGGGAUAACAGCCACCAAGCCGACGAUGGGUAGCCGAGCUGAGAGGCUGAUCGGCCACACUGGAACUGAGACACGGUCCAGACUCCUACGGGAGCAGCAGUGGGAAUAUUGGGCAAUGGGCGCAAGCCUGACCCAGCAACGCCGCGUGA